UAUGGCUUCUACGUCAAGGCUUUGACACUAAUAUGACAUUUUUCUAGUUUUGGUGAUUGAAUUUUUUGCGUGUGUUUACAUUACCUUACCAUAAUUGAUAGUUCACAUAUUCACAUGGCUGUUUCGGUCGUUUAACACGAGUCAGAUGGAACGACCGUUGCGUGAUCAAAAAACCAGUUAGCUUGCAGAUAAGAACAAAUCCAUUCAUGACAACUACAAUGGCAGAUUGCAGUUAUGCAAGUACACUACCAUGACACUACUGGGAAAUCCAUUUGCUAGGUAAAUUUAACAAAGAGCUUCAUUCAGCCAAAUAUUCGUUGCAUUAAUUCAUUUGGAUCGGUUAAAUUACUAAAUAUUAGGGAGAUUACGGUGGGUCCAUUUAGGUUGUUGGAGUUUUAAUCGGAAUCAGUAGCUCCGUUCAAUGAUUAAUCUGCUUAUGUGAGAGGUGUCGUCUUCAAGCGUGUUUCCAAAUAUGUAAACAAUUGAUGGAUUGUGAAAGAAUAUGCUAAACGGGCAUGAUCAGCACCAUCAUAAUACCAACAGAAAGAACUGCUGCAACAACAUCAGUGUCUUUAACUACCGGACCAGCAACUCCAUAAGUAAGAUGGCAAAAUUCCACCUUCUGAUGCUACACCAGUUUUUUUUUUUUUUUUUCAUAUUGAUUAUCUCAUUUUUCAGCUAAGCUAUUUCCGCAUUAGUACAAUCCUUCUUGAAACACAAUUUAACCAUUAUAUGAGACUGAAAAUAUAGAUACUGAAGCCUCCAUCUACGCUAUGAUUUGCGCUUACCUAGGCUUGGUAUUUUGAUAAAAAAUUUGCAUUUGAUUGACGAAUGUGUCUUACCUAAAGAAUUAAAAUCUUUAGCUGAGAGUUGAAUCCUUAAGAGGAAAGUAAACACCUCGUUGUGACACACCAUCGAUUUUUCGUUAACUUUCAACAAGUUUACCAAAUCGGUUUCAACACACAAGCAUAAUGGCACCUUCGGAUUAAAUUGAUACCUUAUGGAUUUGUUAUGUUAUGAAGAGGA